rnacentral:rRNA from 1 species
UACGUAGGGUGCGAGCGUUAAUCGGAAUUACUGGGCGUAAAGCGUGCGCAGGCGGGCUUUUAAGCCAGACGUGAAAUCCCCGGGCUUAACCUGGGAAUGGCGUUUGGGACUGGAAGUCUGGAGUACGGCAGAGGAGACUGGAAUUCCUGGUGUAGCAGUGAAAUGCGUAGAUAUCAGGAGGAACACCGAUGGCGAAGGCAGGUCUCUGGGCUGAUACUGACGCUCAUGUACGAAAGCGUGGGGAGCAAACAGG